rnacentral:rRNA from 1 species
AUUGAACGCUGGCGGCAGGCCUAACACAUGCAAGUCGAACGAGUGGAGGACGGGUGAGUAAUUUCUGGGAAACUGCCUGAUGGAGGGGGAUAACUACUGGAAACGUUAGCUAAUACCGCAUACCAUCGGAUGUGCCCAGAUUGGAUUAGCUAGUUGGUGGGGUAAAGGCUCACCUAGUCGACACUCCCUAGCUUGUCUGAGAGGAUGACCAGCCACACGGGAACUGAGUCACGGCCCAGACUACUACGGGAGGCAGCAGUAGGGAAGAUUGCACAAUGGGCACAAGGCUGAUGCAGCAAUGCAGCGUGUAUGAAGAAGGCCUUCGUGUUGUAAAGUACUUUCAGUGGGGAGGCGUUACCCGCAGAAGAAGCAACGGCUAACUACGUGCCAGCCGCCGCGGUAAUUC